UAUUUCCUACGGGGCGCAGCAGUGGGGAAUAUUGCACAAUGGGGGGAACCCUGAUGCAGCGACGCCGCGUGAGUGAAGAAGUAUCUCGGUACGUAAAGCUCUAUCAGCAGGGAAGAAAAAAAGUCUUUGGCUUUGGACGGUACCUGACUAAGUAGCCCCGGCUAACUACGUGCCAGCAGCCGCGGUAAUACGUAGGGGGCAAGCGUUAUCCGGAUUUACUGGGUGUAAAGGGAGCGUAGACGGCAGCGCAAGUCUGGAGUGAAAUGCCGGGGCGCAACCCCGGAACUGCUUUGGAAACAGUGAAG
rnacentral:rRNA from 1 species